GAUUACAAACAGCUACAGAUUAAACAUUACACGGUGUAUCUUCUGGAAAUGUCAAGCUAUCCAAUGUUUCUUCUUGCAAAAUUUUUUAAAACCUGGAGAUGUAGCACAGGAUGAAACCUUGACAUUCAGUUGACUAAAAGGUCUGAAACAGUACUAAAUGACGGAGUUCUGCCAGUCAGUCACUGAAACAGUACUAAAUGACGGAGUUCUGCCAGUCAGUCAGCUUUUUAUAACCAGUCAGUCACCUUUUAAUGAAUGGCAUAGUUUCAGGAUUGGAGCGAAUACAUGAACUUGAACCAGAUUGGCCCAUUAGUAUCUGGGAAGAAGUUGUUAACAGACAACGCAUGACGACGGACGCAGACCAAUUGCAAUGUUACCGGAGUUUACUCAGGUGAGCUAAUAAACUUAAAAGGUAUCUUUUUACACUUGCAUUUAUUGUUUAUAUUAGCCUUUCUUAGUUGCUAUGCAAACCUUAGUUUGAUAUUAUUCCAUGCCUUUUCCAUGUAUUUAUUAUACGCCCGUCUUUAGACGUAUUAUGGUACAGCGAUGUCUAUACGUCUGUCCGUCUAUCCAGGGUUUUCUGUUUCUGAUUUCAUUUCUCUGUUACAUAUUUCAAGUUGAAAGUUGCUAUGUAGUUUUUUUGUGGAUCCCUCUAGAUCAUGUUGCAAUUUUGAUCCAUUUCGACCGCUCUUGCAGGAGUUUUGCCCCUUUAUUUGAAAAUCAUUGUUAUAUGAAGGGUACAUAAUUUGUCCGGCAACUCUUCCCACAAUUUUCAAGUUAGGACCAUCUUGUUUUACAGUGUAUGUAUGGGUAUCGAAGAUGUGCAUGUGGCAAGGAUUUUGAUGUUCUUCAGCUUUUGAGAAAAUUACACUCAGGUUGUUGAACUUAAUCAGUUUUGAGGAAUUAUUACAUAAAGAGUACAUGAUUUGUCUUUUAUUUUUUCUUCCAGUUUUCAAGUGAGGGCUUUUCUAUUUCACAGAGUAUUUUUAUGGUUAUGGAAGAUGUGCAUGUGGCAAGGGUUUUGAUUUUCUUCGAUUUUUGAGAAAAUUGCAGGUUGUUGAACGUCUGUUUUGAGGAAAUAUUGUAUUAAAUAAAGGACAUGGUUUGUCCUGUUAACUCCUCUUACAGUUUAGAAGCUAGGGUCUUUGUAAAUAACUUGAAGAUGUGCAUAGUACAAGAAUUUUGAUUCUCAACCAUUUUUAAUUUUCUUUGAUGUUUUAAAUAUUUACAGGUUGUUGAACUUCGUCAAAUUUGGGGAAAUGUUUUACACACAGAAUUCUUGGUUUGUCCAUCUACCUUUACAUUGUAUUCAUACAAUGCAAAGAAUGUAUGUCACAGCCUGAUGAUGGCUGAUACGACCUGAAGUAAAGUUCUACAAAUAAUGCCUUAAGAAAACACCCUAUGUAAGCAUUUUCACGGGCGUAUUAUGUACCGUUUGCGGUACUCUUGUUGUUCUUUCGUUUAGUUUGUUGUACAUGUAAAGCGCUUUAGGGUAAUUGGGUUGAGUAGAUAAAGUACUAUAUGAAUGUACAAUGAUAAAAAGUCUUCAUCCUAGGUACCAGCUCAUACCUUUAAAGUGUCUAGGGUCCCUUGUUUGCUCUUAAUUUUGUAUGUUUUAAAGGAUUGAUGACAUUGAUCACUGUAAUCGUUAUUUUCACUUGGACCAGAGAAUUUGGGAAAUGCUGACCUCAAACGUUGAAACACCCACAACAUCAACCAAUCUAUUAACAGCCUGCCUCGAUUUAUAAAUUUAUCAUACACAGAACAUGCUCUUAAAUACAAACGAAUAUCGCCACACAAACAGGAAGCUGAAAACGGAGACGCUGAAGCUAUCUCGUCUGCCACAAAGCUGUGCUGCCAGUCUGCCGCCGAGAUCUAUGCCAAAUAAAAUAUUCAAACAUGAAGCACAAACAAAACCACGUGGUGUUCUCAAUCGUGAUCCUACUGGGACAGACUGAACCAACACAAAACGAACGAAAACGAGCACCGUCAACAUACAAAACGCCAUAAAAACACCCACACACCUAGCCGAAAACCUUUCCUUCCCAUACAGAAGCCCGGGAGAUUUAGUGACAAUGUCUUAUCCAUUGAUAAUACUUACUUUCAUGUAUUUCUCAACUGAUUCGAUACACGAGAGACUGUUCUGUGUAUGAUCAUUUUUUAAAUCGAGGCAGGCGACUGACAAAUAAGUUAUUUAACAGGGGUUCAACUGUCUCGUUUAAAGUAUUUUGCAAAUUCAAUGGUCGUUGUGAUAUGUUUACAUUUACUGAAUCACUUCUCUUCUAUUUCUUUUGAAACUGGCAUUGCGUUCAUCUCCGACAAUGAAUACAUGUUUGUUGCAAACUAGUUCGAUCUGGUUUUUAGCAUCACCUGUCCUCAUAAUCAUUAUCAAAUAUGGAGCGUCGUCAAGGUCAAUGGGUGAAUUCGCUGUUCCGUUUAAAGUAACGAAUGGAUCAACUAUAUAUUUCAGUACUUAGACCUAGUUUAUAUUCUUUUUAAAAAAAAUAUUUAAAAAAUAUUGAUAUAAACAAUAAAAUGUUUUCUUUGUUGUUUUAUCGGGUGACAAAGGUAGCAAGCAUUGCAGGAAAAAAAAUAACGCGGGUUAUGAAUUAUGUCUCCCCUUCCCAGAAGAGGAACAAAUUGUUUUAGUGUGAAUUCUUCUUCCGUUUCUCAUACAAAGUUUGUCAUUUGACAUAGGCCUUUGAUAUUUGGUAUGUGGGGAUGCCAUAAGUGUGUCGCGUACCAUAUUUGAUGACCUUUCGUGUAAAGAUAAAUUUCAAUUAAAGAUAGUUUGUAUUGGGUAUAUAGAGACACAAUCACUUUCUGACUACGGAUUACUCCGUUUACCUGAUCAAAAUAUAGGACAAGCAAAAGGUGUGACCGGUCGACUGAGGGUGCUUACUCCUCCUAGGCACCUAAACCUACUUCUAGUAUGUCCAUGCCCUACUCUUAAUUUUGUAUUCUUUAUUGGAGAUAUUGGAUUGAUCACCGUUCCUUACCUUCACCUGUUUCUUGUGUAUCCGGCGUAAAAAAAAAAGUGUAUAUACCGGUGACAUACAACAUUCGGGACCACCGAGCGAUAACGAUAUCAAGCAGCGAGCGAGUAGUAGCAGUUACAGCACACGUAAUAAGCUGGGUAACAGCUCUCAAACACCAAAGUCUUAAGUUCACCAUUAAAAAGGAUUACCAAAAUUACCAUCUAGAUUCUAUUUCAUUGGGUGCCAGUCUAUCUUUUAACUCUCCCCCUCUCGUCCAUCUAGAUUCCGUGAUACACUACUGAACUUGCUCACAAACUAAGACCAGUAAAUGUGAAUUUGUAACCUGCAACUUUUUUAAUACCAGAGUGUUAAAAACAGUAAAAUUAUAUUUCCUGAACUGCGUUUAUUUAUCAUGAGGGAAAUAGUAAACAUCGCACACGUUACAAUAUACAUGUACUUGUAUUUGAAUUCAUGGGAUGUGUCCUUUAACACUCGUGUGGCAGGGAUGGGGACCGGACCAGACUAAUGAAAGUCGCAUUGCCGUGAGUUUAUCUAUUUGAAUAAUUAUUAUUUAAUCAAACUGGGAUGAUAUAUUAUUUACAAUAUUUAACUAAAAUAUUUGUGGAUAUAUUAGUUCACAUCUAGACGUUAUUGUGCAAGUAUGGAAAUCAACCGGGAUUCAAAUUGACUGCACGGCUACUUAACAGCAUAUGGCUACGUCAACGAACGAAAUCAUAAAAGGCUGUGAGUUUUUGGGUCGUAUAGUGGCUUUAAUGAAUAUUUGAAGGUAUAUUCGGAUUAUGAAUUUUUUGAUAUUGAAUUAGUGAGACAAAAACAAAACAAGAAUACAACGAUAUCAGAUCUUAAUCGUGCGCAGAUUUUUGUUUUUAUAAGGGGUGGAUUUGUAGCUCUUUAUAUUUUUUCAGAGAGUUACAGUUCUGCAGCUAAUGCUUCACAAAAACAAACCAAAACGUUCAUCAGUUGGAUAUAUAUUUCACUGUGACAAAAGAUAGUACUCUAUACCUGUUUAUCACUUUUAACAGUUUGCUAAAAUGAACCAUACUAAAAAUAUUUGUUACAUUAUAUUCAAUCAGAGUUAUCUCACUUUGUACGAUUGACUCACAAACAAUUUUAAAAAUCGCUUGUGUUCGAAUUUACUAUUAAAAGAUAUACUAAUAUAUAGUAAAUUCGAACUUGAAGCGAUAUAUUGGCCUAAGGAUGUACUAAAGAGCAUUUUGCUUCCCAUGGCCACACGAACAACAAAUAAAAUAUACAUUGUUGAUUUUUAAAAAUUUGAUCUAUGGAUGUAUCCAUGGAAACUUAUUACAUAAUAGUAUUCACCGGGAAUUUUCCUCUAAGGGAUUUUCCUUACGUGGAAUUAUGUAAUAUCUUGUCGGAAAUAGUGGUAACAUUCCCUGGGGAAACCCCUGUGUAAAUAGCUAGUUAUAUUGUGAUUUUUGUUUUACUCUCAUGGUAAAUUUUCCUCUGAUAAAUCCUUAUUCAUUAAAUAAAAUGUAGGGCGUAUCAAGCAAAAUAGUAUCUAUGUCACAAUAUAUUUCUUCAACAGAUGUAUAAAAUAGAGUACAUGCAAGUGUAUACCCCCCCCCCCCCCCGAAACACGUGCGUCGUUAUGUGUAAAGUGUGACUCCACCCAGGACGACCGACCAUACACAAUGGGGGAAAUAGGAGGCGUAUGUUCCCAAUGCUUCAAACACUAUCUAACACACACUGGUAUCUGAAAAAAUAUGCUUUUACUUACUUACCUAUAUGAUACAUUUGUUCAUGCUAGUUUAUUUUCCUAAUCAUUCUUACCCCCUCUAGUUUAGUUUGUUCUAUCAUACAAAAUUAAUGGCAUUCAACGUCCUAUUCUUAUCGCCUUCAAAGGCUUACUUGGCAAGAUGACAGUAACUAAGAAACAUGAAUACUCUCAUAUUAGAUAAUUUGGCAUACAUGUAUGUUUCCAUUUUACUCCGUGAAGUUGUGUUUUAAUUUGUUCUAAAUUCCCUGGAACAAUCAAAUAUGGCAGAACAUAAUGUCUGUCCAGAUUUCAGUUACGACUUAUAUGCGUACCGUCAAAUGGUAGUUGUUGGUUGAAUAUUGAAUAUACGACCCGCUCGAGAAUCUUUCACUCAUAUGGAGACGUCACCAUUGCCGGCGAAGGGCUGCAAAAUUUAGGCACAUGCUCGGCGCUUACAGCCUUUGAGCAGGGAGGGAUCCUUAUCGUGCCACACCUGCUGUGACACUAGGCCUAGGUUUUUGCGGUGUCAUCCGAGGGACCGCCCCCAUUUAGUCGCCUCUUACGACAGGCAAGGGGUACUGAGGACCUAUUCUUACCCGGAUUCCCAUGGGAUACCAUCAAAUGGUGUUAAUUUGAAAUAUCAUAUACUAAUAAUGCAUUUAAAAACCUUUCUAACUAAAACAAAAGUGGUAGUUUGAGAAUGAUCACAAUGAAUAUGACAAGUUGAAAAGGGAUCGCCAAUGACUGAACGAUUAAUAUAAAAAGUAAAUAUUGUAAUAUAUCAUGGGAAAGUCUCCUGGCUCGGAUUUCCCGAAGAUCAAACUUGAAUUUUGAGUUUUCUUAUAUUUGGUAAAAUCCGUUUCAGCUUUAGUUCUUUUCAGAGCAAUCCAGGCAUGCCUUUAAAAAAGGUUAUUCGAUUGCUAUAAUUAUGUUCAGUCAAGCUUUCUUAUCUCGAACUUUACGGAACUAAGAUUAAACUUCAGGAUAUCGGAGGAUUCAAGAUAAAGAGGGUAAAAACAUGAAGAAAAAGUAAUCAGGGCUUCCAAAUCACUCCAACAUAUCCCUUUUCCGACAUCUUACAUCAUGCAAAUGACAAGCUAAGGUCAGGGCAUACCAAAAUGCCAUUAGCGACCCCAUACCGUAUAAAUUGAAUGUCAUGAAAAGACUAAAUGUAUAUUUUCUAUCAAGUAAUAAAAGUUAUACAUUUUAUGCAAAUUAUACAAUUUACUUUGAUCGAAUUAAAAAUCAAUAAAUCUAUUUUCCUAUUUCUCUAUUAAUUAGCAUAAUAAACGCCCCAUUACGAAAAAUCAUAAUCACGUGCCGUCGCAACCUGAAUUUAGAAAAGGUGAAGAUAAUGAGCAGUGAUCAAUCAUAUAAUUCUUAUCAAGAAUACAAAAUUAAGAGUCGGGCAAACACGGACCCCUGGGCAUACCAGAUGUGGGAUCCGGUGCCUAGUAAGCAUCCCCUGUUGACGGGUCACAUCCGCCGUAAGCCCUAUAUCUUGAUCAGGUAAACGGAGUAAUCCGUAGUCAAAAUCAGUGUGUAAAGAACAGCUUAACAAUUGGUCCAGAUAUCAUUUGACCCACUGACAGGUUGUAUUAGUAAACUAGAUCGUUAUAACGAUCAUAUAAUUCGCAAAUACGGACAUUUAACGAAACUGUUGAAACCCCUGUAACAUCAACUUAUUUAUCAUUAGCCUGCCUCAAUUCAAUAAGAGUACUCUAAACGGUACAUCAUACGCUUAUCGGAUGUCCACAGUAAUGACAAAAUUUCAGUGCAAUAUCUGUAUCCAUAAUGAGAAAAAGUCCAGGAAACUGCUUGACCUACUUUUAGCUCUAAAGUAGGUCACGGUACAUCAAUCAAGCUGAAAUGCAAACUGAAUCUGUAUUUCUUUGAGAGAAAGAUUGUGACUUUAUUUCAGGGCAAUACCUUUAUCCAUCACGAAAAAAAUCUGGAAAACUGUUUGACCUACAUUUAGCCCUAAAGUAGGUCACAGUGCACCAAUCCAGCUGAAAUGCAGACUCACUCUUACUCUUAUUCAAUAUUGAGGGACAUGAAAUAGUAAACAUGUAUUUUGCUUCUCGUAAAGCUUUUUCAUAUUUAUUCAAACAUGUUUCCCUCUUAAUAUAAACAAGAAUAAUCUUCUUGAUUAAAACAAAAAAGAUUCUCGAGAUCCAAAAUGCAUGUUUAUUAAUUUUUCCAAAUUAUCCGACUUCGGAUGUUCAAGUUUUUUCUACCGCCAAUAGAGAUUAACAUUCAUACAACCCCGGGAAAGGGAACAUGUAAAAAUGGAUUAACAGUGAGUAGGUAUUAAUUUCCUUAUAACAGUUGCAUUCAUUUAUGCUAAAGUUGUAGAAAUAAAGUGUUUGUUAGUAAAUCCAGCCAUAUGUGAGUCGAAACGUCGGUCGAAGCGUGAACCGUCACCGGUUCCGGUAUUUACACGUGAUCCAGAAUCAAAAUAUGAAGGUUUGCGAAGAGAAGUGGAUAUGGGCUAUGCCUGUCCAUUUCUCUAAAGAGAAUACUAUUAACCCUUCUCUAAAGAGAAUACUAUUAAUGAAGUUAUGGUCUAUUCGAUCCAAGGUGAAAACGGUGAUUUAUUGAUGGCUUGGAAACAGUACUACUAGAAAUAACACAAAGAAAGAGAAUUUUGUUCAGCUUUUUCAUCAGCGCAAAAAAGCUGAAGCUGCACACAAUUCGUCUAGAAUUUUUUUGGUCCCAGUCCCAGAAGUCCCUGAUCAGAAAUGGCGGAGAUCUCGCAACGUCACCUCUCCUUGAUCUUACAUAUACCAACACAAUGCAGCGUGUCGCAUUAGGUCUACAUGUAAUUACAAGCCGCGCAAGAGCACGGUCUGAUUUGAUACAGUUUUUAACUGUGUUUGCGUUUCUGUGGAAUUUAUGUGGAAUUUAUGUUUUCAUUUGUGCGAGAUUGAUGUGAAUAUAUUUUUAAGUUAUUUUCAAAAUCAAUGCACUGCGUAUUUAAUUGAGGAUUGAAGUUAAAAUUAGCCUUUGAGUUGUAUGUCUAGAAAUAAAUCAAGGGUAUUGACAUAAAAAUAAUGUUAGGGUGGCAGGGGACAGUUUCGCACUAUAGGCCCGGUCAACUUUUUCAAAAAAUGGAAAUACCCCAUAUUUGAAGUGAUAUUACAUGUGUAAAAAUGUAUACAAUAAUUUUAGGAUGCAUGUCAAAUGUAGCUGAAUGCUUAAUAAAAAUGUUGAUAUACAACAUGUAGGUGUCACCAUGAUUCCUAGCAUAUAGAUGGGUGCAAAUACGAAACUAAGACACGUGGUCAAUUGCUGAAGAAAUUCCGGUGAAAACAUGCAGGGUCUAGCAAAAGGUCUGUAGCUGUGAGGGAAGGUGGAUGGCCCCAGAUGAGAGGUAGAUUUUUGAGAAGGGCUGAUAGGGUUCUUGAUUGUGCACAGUGUCUAAAUCCCCAUGUUUGGUACUGUGAAGGUAUGGGGGUGGUGCGGAUUAGCCCAAAUGAGGGAAAAUCAAAGAAAAGAAGGGGAACCUGCUCAGAGCAUGUUUUGUGCACCAGCACCAGUAUUUAUAGAUUACAUAUAAUUUAGGGUCAUAAUUUAUUAACUACACUAAUAUGAAAUACAAGUAUUGACAUAAAAGGGAAAUAUGAUUUUUCAUUAGUCUGUCAUAAUCUGACUUUGGUGUAUACCCCCUAUCCACAUGUUUCAAAACCAAAGAAACUGUCCCCUGCCACCUAGGAAUAAACAUUAGAAUUGUCAAUUUGUACUGCGUUUGUUUCGGGUUCAAUUAGUUUCAUUUAUAUGGAACACAAAAAGGAUGAGGAGUGCUUUGUGUAUUGAAGACUAUUUUUCAGAUUCAUACAACUAGUACAUGAAGUAUAUCAAAGGGGUCCAGACAAGUGACUGAUUGUUUGAUUGAUUGUAUAUCGUUUAACGUCCAUCUUGAGAAUUUUCCACUCACAUGGAGACGUCAUCGUUACCGGUAAAGGGCUGCAAAAUUUAGGCCUAUGCUCAGCGCUUACGGUCUUUGAGGAGGGGGAUCUUUAUCGUGCCACACCUGCUGUGAUACGGGGCCUCGGUUUUUGCGGUCUCAUCCGAAGGACCAUCCCAUUUAGUCGCCUCUUACGACAAGCAAGAGGUACUGAAGACCUAUUCUAACUCGGAUCCCAACGGUAUCCAGGCAAGUGAAAACCACGCACAUAUCCGCCUUUUAAAUGCGUCAGUAUGGUCCGGCCAAAACUAUAUCAUGAUUUCUUCCAUAUUCGGCGGCAUGAUGGUUUGUGGAGGGGGGGGGGGGUUUACACUUGCGUCUAAUUGUUUUCUUGUGUAUAUUGAAAUGCAGUCUAUCCCAAAAGCACCGAACCGUCGGACAAAACCGACGAAAAUCGAUUUGGACCGAUGUACUGGUUGGCAAGAUCGGUCCGUAUGUCCGAAGGUUGCAUUGGUUUGGUUUCGAAUUUUAUUUUCCAUAUUAUAUCGUUUAGACGCUAUACCUUAUACCGCGAUACAGUCCUACAAACGUUUUGCUGAUUACGAUUGUUAGGUACUCUAUUUCCGCCAUUUUCAUCAAGAUGGUGAACCUAAAAUACUUCGAUGGGGCUGUACCAGGAAAAAAGUUAAAAAGAGACGAAACGAUGAAGAGAAAGCUAAAGAAUAAGAGAAACACAGAAAAAGAGAUAUUGUUCAACGAGAGGUGGAGGGAGGGACGUCCGUGGUUACAGUUGAAUCAAGGGGAGGAUACAAACAUGACCGUUAUGACUUAAUCAGUCGGUAAGAAGGAGAAAGAUAAACUACAAGCGUGUGAAAAGGGAUGAAAGAGUCCAAGACGCAGAGUCUGAGCAAGGCACAAGUCAGACAGUGCUAGAUACUGAAACAGGACAGGAGGAGGAGGCGGCAGAAGCUGAGGAAGAAACCAUCACUGAGGAUAGCAUAGCAUAUGAAACAAGUUGUGGUGGUGGUGGGGGGGUGUGUGAAUAUUUUGAAGACUAUAUGUCUGAAUAAUUGAACUGGAUGAAAGCUUGUAAUUACAUAAGAGGAGAAUAAAGUUCUGUAAUGUUAUGAUAAUGAUU